AAGAGGGGCUGCCUGGGACAGGGAGUGAAUCAUGUGCUCAGGUUGGCUGGAUUGAGCAUCACCUAGGAACCAGGUGAGGCACCCCUGUAGGUGUCUGUGAGUGUUUCCAGCGUGAGGAGUGACUGAGGAGAAAAGGGCCCAUGGUGAGUGUGGACAACAUCUUCCCACAGACUGAAACACAACACAAGGGAGAAACGCAAGAAGCCGGCGGACCGAACAAGCCCUUCCUCACGGUUAGCGGCCACAAAGUUGACUGCUCUGGUCCAUAACAUCCUCCAGGCCAUGAUGGGUUGAACCCUCUGAACCCGGAGCCAAAACCAAUCUUACCUUCCCACAACAAUAAAAAACAAAAAAGGCU